rnacentral:rRNA from 1 species
CAGCAGCCACGGUAAUACGUAGGUGGUAAGCGUUGUCCGGAAUUAUUGGGCGUAAAGGGCUCGCAGGCGGUUUCUUAAGUCUGAUGUGAAAGCCCCCGGCUCAACCGGGGAGGGUCAUUGGAAACUGGGAAACUUGAGUGCAGAAGAGGAGAGUGGAAUUCCACGUGUAGCGGUGAAAUGCGUAGAGAUGUGGAGGAACACCAGUGGCGAAGGCGACUCUCUGGUCUGUAACUGACGCUGAGGAGCGAAAGCGUGGGGAGCGAACAGGAUUAGAUACCCCAGUAGUCCCUGUCUCUUAUAC